ACAUGCAAGUCGAGCGAAGUGAUUGGAGUGAAGUCUCGGAUGGAACAAAGAAUCAUCUUAGCGGCGGACGGGUGAGUAACGCGUGAGAAACCUGCCGUUUCACAAAGGGAUAGACCUCGGGAAACUGGGAUUAAUACCUUAUGAUACUCCUAGAUCGCAUGAUCUGGAAGUUAAAGCGCAAAGCGGUGAAAGAUGGUCUCGCGUCCUAUUAGCUAGUUGGUGAGGUAACGGCUCACCCAAGGCUGCGAUAGGUAGCCGGCCUGAGAGGGUGAACGGCCACACUGGAACUGAGACACGGUCCAGACUCCUACGGGAGGCAGCAGUGGGGAAUAUUGCACAAUGGAGGAAACUCCUGAUGCAGCGACGCCGCGUGAAUGAUGAAGGCCUUCGGGUCGUAAAGUUCUGUCCUUGGGGAAGAUAAUGACGGUACCCAAGGAGGAAGCCCCGGCUAACUACGUGCCAGCCGCCGC
rnacentral:rRNA from 1 species